rnacentral:rRNA from 1 species
GAUGAACGCUGGCGGUCUGCUUAACACAUGCAGUCGAACGAACUCUUCGGAGUGAGUGGCGGACGGGUGAGUAACGCGUGAGAAUCUGCCUGUGGGUCGGGGACAACCACUGGAAACGGUGGCUAAUACCGGAUGAGCCGAAAGGUAAAAAAUUUAUUGCCCACAGAUGAGCUCGCGUCUGAUUAGCUAGUUGGUAAGGUAAAAGCGUACCAAGGCGACGAUCAGUAGCUGGUCUGAGAGGAUGAGCAGCCACACUGGGACUGAGACACGGCCCAGACUCCUACGGGAGGCAGCGGUGGGGAAUUUUCCGCAAUGGGCGAAAGCCUGACGGAGCAAGACCGCGUGGGGGAGGAAGGUUUUUGGAUCGUAAACCCCUUUUGUCAAGGAAGAAGUUCUGACGGUACUUGACGAAUAAGCCUCGGCUAACUCCGUGCCAGCAGCCGCGGUAAUACGGAGGGUGCGAGCGUUAUCCGGAAUGAUUGGGCGUAAAGCGUCUGUAGGUGGCCAGCUAAGUCUGCUGUUAAAGAUCACAGCUCAACUGUGGGAAGGCAGUGGAAACUGGCAAGCUAGAGGCUGGUAGGGGUAAAGGGAAUUCCCGGUGUA